rnacentral:rRNA from 1 species
UAUUUUAAUGGCCGCGGUAAUUUGACCGUGCAAAGGUAGCAUAAUCAUUAGUCUAUUAAUUGUGGACUUGUAUGAAUGGUUGGACGAAGUAUUGACUGUCUCAUUUUUAUUAUUAAAAUUUAAAUUUUAAGUUAAAAUGCUUAAAUUAUUUUAUUGGACGAGAAGACCCUAUAGAUCUUUAUUUUUGAUUUAAAUCUAAUUUUUAGGUUUUUUAUUUUAUUUUUAAAUUAAAUAUUUCGUUGGGGUGACGUAAGGAUAAAUAUUAACUCCUUAUUUUUAUUAACAUUUAUUUUUGAUUAUUUGACCUUGUAUUAUUGUUAUAAGAUUAGAUACCUUAGGGAUAACAGCGUAAUUUUUCUUGAGAGUUCAUAUCGACAGAAAAUAUUGCGACCUCGAUGUUGGAUUAAGAUUAUAUUUAGGUGUAGGUGCUUAAUAUAUAGGUCUGUUCGACCUUUAAAUUCUUACAUGAUCUGAGUUCAAACCGGAGA